AGAAAUAAUUUUAAUGAACUUCUAAUUCACUCUACUAUGAUAUUCUAUCAUAUUAUUUCU
rnacentral:tRNA from 1 species